GGGCAGCGACGGCAUCUCCCGCACGCCUCUUCAUUUGUCGGAUCAAGCUYGCUCUUGUCCGUGGUUGGUUUUCCUGUGUUGCAUACCUAUUGCGAGGGCAUUCGGUUGGCUAAAACGGUUCCAUCUCCGCCUUGUCUCGGCGCUCCUUGCGGGCGUGCRGCACGGGGUGGAUCUCAUGGGGCGCGUUGUGUUUCGCGCCGCAUUCACCUUAACGGUGUUUGGGUAGGCGACSCACAACGUGUUUCCGUUGUCUCGGGUACGGAACAUCGGGUGGGUACGAGGCAUUAGCCUCCGAUCACCACACAAAUGCGUUCUACGCUAUAUGCGAACGACGGCCUCACCCGGCAUUCGGCGGAGCACUCGCUGCUCGGUCGAAGCCGUGUAGGCGUCGGUGAGGGAUGCUACCUGGUUGAUCCUGCCAGUAGUCAUAUG
rnacentral:misc_RNA from 1 species